GAAAAACCUUGGUGGCUCCAUAAACCCCAAAUUCAACCAGAAAUCAAGAUUGAUUGACUACACUAACAGAGAAGAAUCUUCUCAAAAUGGAUGACGGAGAAGGAGGACUAAACUUUGAUUUUGAAGGUGGCUUAGAUACAGGGCCAACACACCCAACUGCAUCUGUACCAGUAAUACAAGCAGGUCCCGCCCCAAAUGCUUCUGUUGCCGUAGUUCCUCCAGGCGGCGGUGUGGGGCUAGGAGGUGAUGGUUCAUUUGUUGGUAACCGUAGAAGUUUCAGGCAGACUGUUUGUAGGCAUUGGCUGCGGUCCUUGUGUAUGAAGGGUGAUGCUUGUGGUUUCCUUCACCAGUAUGAUAAGUCCCGGAUGCCCGUUUGCAGGUUCUUUAGACUCUAUGGAGAGUGCCGUGAACAAGAUUGUGUUUAUAAGCACACCAAUGAGGAUAUUAAAGAAUGUAACAUGUUUAAAUUAGGAUUUUGUCCGAAUGGUCCUGAUUGCCGAUAUAGACAUGCAAAGAUGCCUGGACCUCCACCUCCAGUGGUAGAAGUUCUUCAGAAAAUUCAGAAUUUGACAUCCCAUGGUUACUCGAACAGGUUUUUUCAAAAUCGGAAUACAAAUUAUUCAACUCAGGCAGACAAAUCUCAAAUUCCGCAAGUACCUAAUGUAAUGAAUCAAGCAGUGAAAUCUACAGCAACGGAACCACCCAUUGGCCAACCGCACCAGCCGCAUCAACAACAAGUUCAACAGCCUCAACAUCAGGGGCCCCCAACUCAAACACAAACCCUUCCCGGCACCCAGCAAAAUCAGGCUGCAAUACCCCUGCCUCAAGGACCAUCUAGGUGUGUUCAGAGUUUCAAGGUCUUUACUUAGGUCAUGU
rnacentral:misc_RNA from 1 species